rnacentral:rRNA from 1 species
UACGUAGGGUGCGAGCGUUAAUCGGAAUUACUGGGCGUAAAGCGUGCGUAGGCGGUUGGCAAAGUCAGCUGUGAAAGCCCCGGGCUUAACCUGGGAAUGGCGGUUGAAACUAGUCGACUAGAAUCUGGCAGAGGGGGGUGGAAUUCCAGGUGUAGCAGUGAAAUGCGUAGAGAUCUGGAGGAACACCGAUGGCGAAGGCAGCCCCCUGGGUUAACACUGACGCUCAUGCACGAAAGCGUGGGGAGCAAACAGG